rnacentral:SRP_RNA from 1 species
AAAUUAUUAUGGUAUAGCCUUUAUACAAGCUUAGGUGUAAAACUUCAUGCUGCUAUCUCACGAUCCUGACAUAAUAAAUCUUUAACUAAACUUUAAAAAGAACUAUACCA